GUGAGAUUGGGGUAUGGGGCAUGGUGCAAAUUCCAGCCCUUUUGAUAAGUCACCCAUGGUCUGGGGCUUGGCCUGAUCAAAAGGUACAGAAUAGGAUUAAGAUUCCAGAAAAGUAGAAUGAGUGUCUGGGGAGAGGCCCAAGAAAUACUUUGAGGCUGGCUGUUGUAACUUGUGGUCUUUAUUUAACCCACACAGAGGUAGGAUUCUUUUCUAUUUUAGCUCAGUUUAGAGGACAGCCAGUAUCCAUAAUGGCCUGAAAUAUAAAUAUUGCAGCACAUGCCAACGUGAGGUAUUUCCCCACGUAAUGCCAAAAGUUGGUUGUUCAAUCUCCUCCAGGAGGGUGAACUCUAGAUACCAUGAAUGUUUAAAACAAAAUGGGCCAUUUUAUCUGUUCCUCAUUUGGACCACCUAAUGAAAUUGGUUAACUGUCUAUGGGGCUGGGUGAUCCUAAUUUAUUUUCCUCUGCAGUGUAUUUGCUGGCAAUGGAUGUUUUGGGGAUCUCAUCACAGGAAAGUUUGAAAAUAAGAAAAUAAUAUCAACAAUUCAUCAUUGAACACUUUCUUGGCAUAUGUCUGUUUAAAUGUAAUUGGGUAAAACAGAUAAACUGAAGAAAAAGAGGUAUCGUAGGAGGAAGAUGUUGCGAUAUCUGAUUGGUCAUCCAGAAAUGGAAAAAUCUGGAUUCAUGAGACUCAGUCUUCAGGAGCACAGAGAAAGAACACCGACAAGAGUCCGAGAGGUCGUCUUAGAAAAGUCUUGAUCUUGCAUGGAUCAAGAACGGUGGUCUCUGUCUUGAAGGGUCUGGUCCAAAUAGGAUGGAUAGAAGCAAGAUGGGAAGAUGGGAAGAUCCUGUACUGCUGCCUACAGCUAGAGAAUGCAAGUGAAUCCAGAGACAAAGAUCACCAACUUCAUCCUUUGCUUAUCUGAGUGCACAUUAUCUAGCACAAAUAUGAAAUCGCCUAACUGGCUUCCUCCCUGCCACCUAGUGACUUUCUGGCUGAAUACUCUAAAUCUACACAUACCUUCUAAUGGAGGCUGCCAUUAACCCAUCA
rnacentral:lncRNA from 1 species